GGAAGUGUAACUCAGUUGGUUAGAGUAUCGGACUUUUAAUCCGAGAGUCGUAAGUUCGAAUCUUACCACUUCCACCA
rnacentral:tRNA from 2 species